GGAAAAGAAACCAACAGGGAUUGUUCUAGUAACGGCAAGUUGAAGCAGCAAUAGCUCAAAUUUGAAAUCUACUUACGGGUCGAGUUUGUAAUUUUGCAGAGGAUGCUUUUCGGUAUAGCCCCUUUCUAAGUUCCCUUGGAAUAGGGUGCCACAGAGGGUGAGAGCCCCGUCUGGUAGGAGGUAUUGCCGGCGUAAAGCUCCUUCAACGAGUCGAGUAGUUUGGGGAAUGCUGCUCUAAAACUGGAGGUAAAUUCCUUCUAAAGCUAAAUAUCUGUCAGAGACCGAUAGCGUACAAGUAGAGUGAUCGAAAGAUGAAAAGUACUUUGAAAAGAGAGUUAAAAAGCACGUGAAAUUGUUGAAAGGGAAGCGCCUAUAACUAGACUUGCGCUAGGUUGAUCAUCUACCGUUCUCGGCGGUGUACUCAGCCUAGUUCAGGCCAACGUCAGUUUUUUAUUGCGGGAUAAAAGCCCUAGGAAUGUGACUCCUCUAGGAGUGUUAUAGCCUAGGGUAAAAUACUGCUAUUCGGACUGAGGAAUGCGUUUGCAAGGACGUUGGCAUAAUGGUUAUUAGCGACCCGUCU
rnacentral:rRNA from 1 species